CCUACGGGAGGCAGCAGUCGAGAAUCAUUCACAAUGGGGGAAACCCUGAUGGUGCGACGCCGCGUGGGGGAAUGAAGUUCUUCGGAUUGUAAACCCCUGUCAUGUGGGAGCAAAUUAAAAAGAUAGUACCACAAUAGGAAGAGCCGGCUAACUCUGUGCCAGCAGCCGCGGUAAUACAGAGGUCUCAAGCGUUGUUCGGAAUCACUGGGCGUAAAGCGUGCGUAGGCUGUUUCGUAAGUCGUGUGUGAAAGGCGCGGGCUCAACCCGCGGACGGCACAUGAUACUGGGAGACUAGAGUAAGGGAGGGGGAACCGGAAUUCUCGGUGUAGCAGUGAAAUGCGUAGAUAUCGAGAGGAACACUCGUGGCGAAGGCGGGUUCCUGGACAUUAACUGACGCUGAGGCACGAAGGCCAGGGGAGCGAAAGGGAUUAGAUACCCUUGUAGUC
rnacentral:rRNA from 1 species